AUGAAAGGCAAUAUUUCUACUGCUUUGCCUGUAAUGACUGGAUCUUCCCCUCAAGUUGCUUCUCAAAUCCCUACAAACACUUCUUUGAGUCCUUCUGUAAUGCACACAGUAUCUAUACCACUGCCUUCUCUGAUUUCCUCCCUGAAACCCAAAUCUAUGGGAGGUGUCACUGUUAUCUCAAAGAAUCUUUAUAAAGAACCAUCCACUGUUUCAGUAUCUCUUCUAGUCAAUCCUGAAAUCUCUCAUGUGUCUAUUGCAAGUACAGCCCCAAAAGAAAAUAAAUAUGCAGUGCACACUGACUCCUUUUUGCUGUCAUCUACUUCUAAGAAGCCAAAGAAAUCCAUUAGUUCUACAGUCUUCCCUCUUAGGACAUUCGUAUUACCUCUAAAUGUUUCGUUAAUAACCACUUCAAAAAUUACAGAAUGCCCAAGCAGUCCACAUACAGAAUUGAAAACUGCCCCUGUGGCACAAAAAGCAGGCACUUUAAUUUCUAAAGAACCUUCUCUUACAAGUUCAUCGUCUUUGUUUUCAAUCUUUUUAUCAACAUCAAUACCAUCUUCUGUAACAUCCCAUUCUACAAGUUCUUCAUUGAUUCCCGUAUCUGGUAGGACAUCUUCAUUAACACAAAAUAUAACUGUUAGCCAAAUAUCGCUUUCAUCUCUAGAUACACAUGGAACCUCAAAAACUGCAAUUAUAGAUUUUGCAACCUCUUCUGUAGGUUUUUCUACAUUUACUUUAAACACCAGCCCUUCUACUAGCCUUUCAGCAGCACUAAAAACAUCCAUUAUAAUGCCCUAUUUGCUAACGCCUAAAACUCCUGAAGUCACUUUAGAAAGCCAGUUCAGUAGGGUCUCUGUGUCUUCACCUCCUCCUAAGACCACUCAUCUCUCUACUGUUUCUCUAGGAAAGCAGAGUUCUUCAGUAAGUACUUCAGCAGAAGAUGGAACAAAAUCUAUCAUAUCAGCUGGAAGCAUUGCUCAAUCCACUACAACAGUGACCAUGAAUAUAACUGUGAAUGCUACAUCCUUAAAAACAGGUUAUAUUUUUGCAAAAACACCACCUUCAGCCACUUUAUUAGUUACUUCUGGCACUACUAUAGCCCCUAGGAUUACUACAAAACCCACUGAUUCUCCUGUUGCUGACUUGAAAUUUUAUAUGGCUUCAGCUUCAGUUCCUGCUACCACAGAAAUACCUAUGCAUGUGGCACACAAAUUUUUAUUUACAUCUGCACCAUCUCAAGUUUCACAAAGCACUAAAGAAACUCUAAAAAUGACAGUCAUGAAAACAACUGGUACUGUAAGUCCGUUUUCACAGAUGAAGAGUACCUUGUUUACAGCUUCAGAAUUUAAAUAUGCAACAUCAUUUGAAAAAACUGCAGAUAUUUUAGAAAGCAGUCAGACUUCAAAUGUGCAAAGGAACGUCACCAAGACAAAGUUGACCACUACUGAGAAAUCUUCCAUGCCUUAUUUGACAGCAUUUGCAGUUCAGAGUUCACCUUUUUCAAGUAAAAAUGACACAACUUCAGUAAAAUCUCUCUCUCUCUCUGAAGUCCCAGAUGUAACAACAUCAGAUUGGUUUAAAAUCCUAACACAGAGAACUGUUAAACCUUAUUUUAAUUUAACAGAGCCCACAGAGUUGCAGAAUGGAACUGUAACGAACUUAUCUCAUUCCAGUGGUGAAAUGGUCCUGCCUUCCUCUUCAGAGCCUGUGCAUACACUUAUGUCUGCAUCUUCUGAAUGUGUGGUAUGA
ensembl:lncRNA